rnacentral:rRNA from 1 species
GACGAACGCUGGCGGCGUGCUUAAUACAUGCAAGUAGAACGCACAGUUUAUACUGUAGCUUGCUACACCAUAGACUGUGAGUUGCGAACGGGUGAGUAACGCGUAGGUAACCUGCCUGGUAGCGUGGGAUAACUAUUGGAAACGAUAGCUAAUACCGCAUACUAUUGAUUAUUGCAUGAUAAUUGAUUGAAAGAUGCUAUUGCAUCACUACCAGAUGGACCUGCGUUGUAUUAGCUAGUAGGUGAGGUAACGGCUCACGUAGGCGAGGAUACAUAGCCGAACUGAGAGGGUGAGCGGCCACACUGAGACGGAGACACGGCACAGACUCCUACGGGAGGCAGCAGUAGGGAAUCUUCGGCAAUGGACGAAAGUCUGACCGAGCAACGCCGAGUGAGUGAAGAAGGUUGUCGGAUCGUAGAGCUCGGUUGUAAGAGAGGAACGCGUGUGAGAGUGGGAAGUUCACACUGUGACGGUAUCUUACCAGAAAGGGACGGCUAACUACGUG